GACGAACGCUGGUGGCGUGCUUAACACAUGCAAGUCGAGCGAUGAAGCUCCUUCGGGAGUGGAUUAGCGGCGGACGGGUGAGUAACACGUGGGUAACCUGCCUCAUAGAGGGGAAUAGCCUUUUGAAAGGAAGAUUAAUACCGCAUAAGAUUGUAGCUUCGCAUGAAGCAGCAAUUAAAGGAGUAAUCCGCUAUGAGAUGGACCCGCGUCGCAUUAGCUAGUUGGUGAGGUAACGGCUCACCAAGGCGACGAUGCGUAGCCGACCUGAGAGGGUGAUCGGCCACAUUGGGACUGAGACACGGCCCAGACUCCUACGGGAGGCAGCAGUGGGGAAUAUUGCACAAUGGGGGAAACCCUGAUGCAGCAACGCCGCGUGAGUGAUGACGGUCUUCGGAUUGUAAAGCUCUGUCUUCAGGGACGAUAAUGACGGUACCUGAGGAGGAAGCCACGGCUAACUACGUGCCAGCAGCCGCAGUAA
rnacentral:rRNA from 1 species